rnacentral:misc_RNA from 1 species
GUGAAUCAUCGAAUUUUUGAACGCAAAUUGCACUCCCUGGUAUUCCGGGGAGUAUGCCUGUUUGAGGGUCGUUAGAAUAAAAAAUAGAGGCGUUGCUCUUUUUUUUAAGGGUGAUCGUGUCGGAAUUGAGUUGUCUUUCAAAUGUUAAUUCAUGUUAAAGUGGCUUAAAAUUCAUCAAUACGGUAUGAUUAAAGCGUAUUUAAGAUCAAUUUUGUUCAAGAUCGCGUGAUGACGUACCAUCUCAUGUAGUACGUUUGACAUGGGUCAUG